rnacentral:tRNA from 1 species
GGAAACGUGCCCGAAAGUUAAGGAUCUCCUUGAUAGGGAGAAUAAUAUGGGUUCAAAUCCCCUCGUUUCCU